AUUGGAUUACUUAGUGGCGGACGGGGUGAGGUAACGCCGUGGGUAACCUGGCCCUUCCGGAGGGGGACGAACGAAGCUGGAAACGGCUGCUAAUACCGCAUGAUACAGCGGGGAGGCAUCUCCCUGCUGUCAAAGAUUUAUCGCCGAAGGAUGGGCUCGCGUCUGAUUAGAUAGUUGGUGGGGUAACGGCCCACCAAGUCGACGAUCAGUAGCCGGACUGAGAGGUUGAACGGCCACAUUGGGACUGAGAUACGGCCCAGACUCCUACGGGAGGCAGCAGUGGGGAAUAUUGGGCAAUGGGGGCAACCCUGACCCAGCAACGCCGCGUGAAGGAAGAAGGCUUUCGGGUUGUAAACUUCUUUGACGAGGGACGAUAGUGACGGUACCUCGAAAACAAGCCACGGCUAACUACGUGCCAGCCGCAGC
rnacentral:rRNA from 1 species